CUCGGAGUUCUGACGAUUUUCAAGAAUCAAAUCCCCAAGCAGAAACCAGUAGUAAAAACCAAGUAUUUUCAACAAAGGUGUGUUGCAAUGUCCAAAGUUGUAUGGAAACAUCAAAUGUAUCUGAAGAGUUAACCACAACAGGCAGUUCGACAAGGUUUUCUAAGGAGGAGAUCAAUUUUGCAAAGAUGGGAAUGAUUGUCAUGGGGUUGUCAGUGGCAAAGAAUUAAAAAAACAGACAUAACCAUUGGAGAUGAUGUUGAACGUAUACGUCUUACAAGAAAUGAACUACAACACUCAAGGAACUUUACACUCGAUGAUACACGUUUUAAUGAGUUAAACAAUAUAAUACUUGAUCUUGUUAACAGAUUUAAUCACCAAAAAAAACCAGCAAGGCUGUAUACAGAUCACCUUAACGAAAUUUUAUCCAAAACAGUAUCUGCAAAUGAAGUGAAAAUUCUUCAGUAUCAGAUUAAAAAUGAAAUGAAAUCAGAAAUGGCUGUUGAAGUUGAAAUUGAACAACAAAUAAAUGUUUCACCACAAUAGAACAGAUUUGUAGAGGAUUGAUCCAAUCUCAAUAGAUGAAAAUCAACUUGUAAACAGCAUUGACCAAUUUUUUAAAUUGUGCUCCGAAAUGUGAAUAUUAAGCCCAAAUUUAAUAAACUGACAUAUUUUCAAAUGUG